AGUCGCAGGUCAGCCGCCGUUUUGAGCCCAAACGAGAACACCUGGACCAGCUUCCUAAACCGUGUGUCGCAGGUUCGAAUCCUGCCGGGG
rnacentral:tRNA from 1 species